rnacentral:rRNA from 1 species
GAUGAACGCUGGCGGCGUGCUUAAUACAUGCAAGUCGAGCGAGAAGCUCGGAAAUGACGCUUCGGUUGAUUUUUCAAGCGGACAGCGGCGGACGGGUGAGUAACGCGUAGGCAACCUGCCCCUGACAGAGGGAUAGCCAUUGGAAACGAUGAUUAAAACCUCAUGACACCGUAGUAGCACAUGCUACAUCGGUCAAAGAUUUAUCGGUCAGGGAUGGGCCUGCGUCUGAUUAACUGGUUGGUGAGGUAACGGCUCACCAAGGUGACGAUCAGUAGCCGACCUGAGAGGGUGAUCGGCCACAUUGGAACUGAGACACGGUCCAAACUUCUACGGAAGGCAGCAGUAGGGAAUCUUGCACAAUGGGCGAAAGCCUGAUGCAGCAACGCCGCGUGAAGGAUGAAGGCCUUCGGGUUGUAAACUUCUGUUCUAAGGGAAGAAAGAAAUGACGGUACAUUAGGAGC